UACGGGGGGGGGCAAGCGUUGUUCGGAAUUACUGGGCGUAAAGCGCGCGUAGGCGGACCUGCAAGUCGGGGGGUGAAAGCCCGAGGCUCAACCUCGGAACUGCCUUCGAUACUGCGGGUCUCGAGUCCGGGAGAGGUGAGUGGAAUUCCUAGUGUAGAGGUGAAAUUCGUAGAUAUUAGGAAGAACACCAGUGGCGAAGGCGGCUCACUGGCCCGGUACUGACGCUGAGGCGCGAAAGCGUGGGGGAGCAAACAGG
rnacentral:rRNA from 1 species